UCCGGUAUUAAUGUAUUAUCAGCAUUAGGCCGAUUUUAUUAAUAGAUGUCUAGUCCUAUUAUCCUAUGAUAUAGGCUCCGUUGGCAGUUUCAUGAUAGACUUUGAAAACGCAACUCUUGAGUGAAUCUGAUCGAAGACAAUUUAACCGGUUCAAAAUCUUGAGACCAAACCCAACACAUAAUACUAUUAUUACAGUUAAAAUGCAUCGAAAUUGUGUUUAGAAAGCGCGCUCCAAUGGUAACGCAAUUAGUGUUAGAAUCUACUCUAAUAACUUAUAUGUAUAUCGGCGGAACCUCGCAAAGAGCUCGAGCAAUACAAAUCGAAAACGCUUCCACUUACUUUGACAGAGAAAUGGAGAUGAUACUCUCGUUUAUAUUGCGGCAAAAUUCGAUUACAAAUGGUAAUUAAUUUAUGGCCCCUUAAUGAAGGGGAAACCAGAAAUAUAUCAAUUCGCGCUCCCCAUCGAGAAUUAUUACGGACUGAUGCCGUAUCGAACAUUUAAAAGCUUUUUUUUUUCGUGAUGGAGUUUUAAUUUUUCUACGGUUUGCGUUUUGGACGAUGAUGCGCGGGAAGGGGGCGACACGCAAGCCAAAGCCACGUUUGCACUCUCUUUCGUGGACUGAAGGGUAUUGAACACAUCAAUUAUUGAAAACUCCUGUAAGAAGACUUGUGAAUAUCAUUAAUUAAGUGAAUUAAAAUGAGUUAGGCCUAGAAGACGUUAGGAAGAGAUGGAAUGUUCUUUAAACAAAUUGGAAACUGGAUUGGCCAGGAUAAGAAUGUAGGACCGCUGUUAAUUUGAGAAGAACCAGUGAUUGCACAGAACAGCUCCUAACACUAACCCUCGCUAUGGGCCGAUAGAUAAACGUGAGAUCGUUCUUGGUUAGUAUUGCUAAUAACUAGACGGCAACGUCUGGCAUGGUCUCAAGAACGGAUUUGCUGGAAUGAGCUGAAUAUGAUCAUUUUGAUUAACGGGUCACGUACUUGCCUGUUCGCUCCCAAUGAUCGUCCACCCAAAAAAGUAACGAAAGGCACCAACUUCAAUUUUGCAUGGACCAAGAGACUGCGCUUACUAGCGCCAGACAAUGCCAGACCACAUCCCUCGGCAAUUAUCAGAAACUUCCUCCGACAAGCUAAUAUAACCUUUCUUCACUGGUCCACAAGGUUAUCAGAUUUAUCUUUAAAUUGGCUGAACAACUUCUACUUCAUAAAGCAAGUUUAUUCCGGGAGAACCUACCACCAGCAGACAUCGAUCUUCUGAUUCACAGCACCCCAUGAAGAGUUACAGAAUGUCAAAACUUGAAAUUUUUAUGAAUCCUUUCUAUUAUUGAAACAUAUUUACAGUUAUAAUUUGUAUAUCACACAGUACAUUUAUUUGAUGAUCUACAGUUUUAUAAAAAAAAUGUUUUUUGCUAUAACAUAGAAAUACUUUACGCCUUGUAGAUUUAAUGAGUUAAAACAUACUUCACUGCAGGCACACUAACAACAUAAUACCUAUCG